rnacentral:rRNA from 1 species
AUUGAACGCUGGCGGCAUGCUUUACACAUGCAAGUCGAACGGUAACAGGCCGCAAGGUGCUGACGAGUGGCGAACGGGUGAGUAAUGCAUCGGAACGUGCCCAGUCGUGGGGGAUAACUACUCGAAAGAGUAGCUAAUACCGCAUACGAUCUAUGGAUGAAAGCGGGGGACCGUAAGGCCUCGCGCGAUUGGAGCGGCCGAUGUCAGAUUAGGUAGUUGGUGGGGUAAAGGCUCACCAAGCCAACGAUCUGUAGCUGGUCUGAGAGGACAACCAGCCACAUUGGGACUGAGACACGGCCCAGACUCCUACGGGAGGCAGCAGUGGGGAAUUUUGGACAAUGGGCGGAAGCCUGAUCCAGCAAUGCCGCGUGCAGGAAGAAGGCCUUCGGGUUGUAAACUGCUUUUGUACGGAACGAAACGGCUCUGGUUAAUACCCGGGGCUAAUGACGGUACCGUAAGAAUAAGCACCGGCUAACUACGUG